GUCCUGGAUAGCUCAGUUGGUUAGAGCGUUGUGCUAAUAAUGCCAAGGUUGCAGGUUCAAUACCUGUAUGAGAUA
rnacentral:tRNA from 1 species